rnacentral:rRNA from 1 species
UACAGAGGGUGCGAGCGUUGUCCGGAAUCACUGGGCGUAAAGGGCGCGUAGGUGGCGACCCAAGUCGAUGGUGAAAGCUCGCCGCUCAACGGCGAGUCGGCCACCGAUACUGGGUUGCUGGAGCACUGUAGAGGCAGAUGGAAUUCCGGGUGUAGCGGUGGAAUGCGUAGAGAUCCGGGAAGAACACCGGUGGCGAAGGCGGUCUGCUGGGCAGUUGCUGACACUGAGGCG